UACAGAGGUCCCGAGCGUUGUUCGGAUUCAUUGGGCGUAAAGGGUGCGUAGGCGGUUUUUUAAGUUUGAUGUGAAAUCCCGGGGCUCAACCCUGGAAUUGCAUUGAAUACUGAAGAACUAGAGAUCUGGAGAGGAAACUGGAAUUUACGGUGUAGCAGUGAAAUGCGUAGAGAUCGUAAGGAAGACCAGUGGCGAAGGCGAGUUUCUGGACAGGUACUGACGCUGAGGCACGAAGGCCAGGGGAGCAAACGGG
rnacentral:rRNA from 1 species